rnacentral:tRNA from 1 species
GGGCGCUUAGCUCAGUUGGUAGAGCAAUCCCCUUUUAAGGGAUCGGUCACUGGUUCGAGUCCAGUAGCGCCUACCA